CAGAACAGAAAAUCGUCGACAAUAUUCCUUUUUAUACCACAUUUAUCAUAAAUGAUGUCAUGAUGGCUGACGAACUAAUUAUACAUAGAUAUCGACAGCGUCGCUACGAAGACAGAAAAAUUUUUGUACUUACUCGUAAGUAAACAAAGAAAAUUGCAAAA